rnacentral:snoRNA from 1 species
AGCUUCCUUUUAAAAAAUUUAAAAAUUGAGGCAACUUGAGACACAGGUUAUACUUCCAUCACAGCAAGUUUAUUGCUGUGGUGACAAUGAGACCUAUAACAUUU